AUGUUUGAGACGGUACUUGUAUUUGUCGAUUUCACGCGUCCGCUGCGGUAUGACCGGCUACGUCGGCGUGCACUUCUCCUCUAGUAGAACGUCGCGACCCGCUGGGUGUCGGUUUAAGGACCGAGAUCGUCGACUGUUCCGUCGUUUCGGCGUAUGGUUACAGACGCUUGGCCUUUCCCGACCGGCUGCUCGGCGGUAUGCACACGGUAUUGAGCCGCACACGAAUGCGUUCAGACUCGUCGCAAGCCCGGCCAUUUACCCGGAUUUACGGACCUAGUGCCGUCCCCGGGGAUGGUUAGCUGUUGGUUGACAAUGAUGUUCUCGAACUGGCUUAUAGUUUCAAUACGAUACCGGUCAGCGACGCUAUUGCUUUGGGUACUUUCAGGACCCGUCUUGAAACACGGACCAAGGAGUCUAACAUGUGCGCGAGUCAUUGGGAUAUUAAAACCUAAAGGCGCAUUGAAAGYGAAGAUCGGCCUUGCGUCGGUUGAGGGAGGAUGGGCAGCGUUUCGAUGCUGCUCCGCACUCCCGGGGCGUCUCGUUGUCAUUGCGACUUGAGGCGCACCAAGAGCGUACACGUUGGGACCCGAAAGAUGGUGAACUAUGCCUGGUCAGGACGAAGUCAGGGGAAACCCUGAUGGAGGUCCGUAGCGAUUCUGACGUGCAAAUCGAUCGUCGGAACUGGGUAUAGGGGCGAAAGACUAAUCGAACCAUC
rnacentral:rRNA from 1 species